rnacentral:rRNA from 1 species
GAGGAAAGAGGGAGGCGUGCCUAAUACAUGCAAGUCGAGCGAACAGACGAGGAGCUUGCUCCUCUGACGUUAGCGGCGGACGGGUGAGUAACACGUGGAUAACCUACCUAUAAGACUGGGAUAACUUCGGGAAACCGGAGCUAAUACCGGAUAAUAUAUUGAACCGCAUGGUUCAAUAGUGAAAGACGGUUUUGCUGUCACUUAUAGAUGGAUCCGCGCCGCAUUAGCUAGUUGGUAAGGUAACGGCUUACCAAGGCGACGAUGCGUAGCCGACCUGAGAGGGUGAUCGGCCACACUGGAACUGAGACACGGUCCAGACUCCUACGGGAGGCAGCAGUAGGGAAUCUUCCGCAAUGGGCGAAAGCCUGACGGAGCAACGCCGCGUGAGUGAUGAAGGUCUUCGGAUCGUAAAACUCUGUUAUUAGGGAAGAACAAAUGUGUAAGUAACUAUGCACGUCUUGACGGUACCUAAUCAGAAAGCCACGGCUAACUACGUG